rnacentral:lncRNA from 1 species
AUCUCCCUGACCAGCACUGUGGCUCCCAUGAAGGAAAUUGAGUCUCAGCCAUGAGGGGUAGGGCCAGGGACCAACCCAGGACUAAUGACGCCACAUUGUUGAGGACUGGAGCCUGGGGUCAGAGGCUGGCCCUGCCACUCCCAGCAUCCAGAAGGGGAGACUGUGUGACCUGAGGGCCAUGUACUAAUCUGUGCAGCUGGUGUGACGGAACCUGCUGCAGACCAUUGCUGUCAGGAUGAGUUCGAAGAAUCAUCGGCCUUUUUGGUCACCUAUGGGUGAGCAGAAGCAUUUUCCUUACCUCAGACCUGCAAAGCAGGUAGUACCUACCCCUUUCAAAACAUAAGUAAAUUUUGGAAGUUCAAUAACUCACCAGAGAUUGUGCAACUAGAGGCAUAGUCAGGAUCCCAAAACUUGUUAUUUUCCUGUUGACUGCUUCAACUGAGAUCACAUCUGCAAGGUGCAGACAUAGCUUCUGGCCCUGGAAGGUGUCAGCAAAGGUGAAUGCCCCUUGCCCGUUUCCUGCUGGAAGACCUCAUGCCACGCUGCUACCUGACCUCA